rnacentral:lncRNA from 10 species
CGGCUGCCUACCCCGGAAGAGGAGGGACUUAUCGCCAUGAGCCUGCUUUUUCUCAGGCCUUGCCCACUGCCUGAGAUUUGUCCCCGGGCCGGGGUGGGGGGUGCAGCUGUGGAGGUCACAGUCCACAACCCCUCCCUGGUCGGCGCAGCCUCGAGGUGUUGUGGGACCAUCCCCUCCCGGGCCGGUGCCCGCCCCUCACACAGGCUGCCUUUGCUAGCCCCCACCCGCGACUGCCGGACUGGGGCUGUCCCCUCCACUUCCUCUCCCCGCAGCUCCCGGGACACCCUGACCAGAUGUUUAUCGAGUGCCAGACAUGUUUCAGGUGCUGGGAAUACAGCAAUAAGCAAGACAGACAAAAAAAUCUGCCCACAUAAAGUUUACAAGAGGAAGAAUUUAUGAAAGAGGAAGAUACCCAAUGUAUUAGGUACAGGAUUUCUCCAUGUUGCCCAGGCUGGAUAUGAACUCGUGACUCAUGGGCUCAAGCAAUCCUCCUGCCUUGGCCUCUCAAAGUGCUGGGAUUACAGGUGUGAGCCACCGCACCUGGCUGCCACUUGGUUGUUUUAAACCUGAACUCAGUGGUGGCCCACACUUGACUACCAAGUGUGAUAUGUCAGAAAUUCCUUGUUUGUGGGCGGCAAGCCACCCAGGUGCCCAGGCAAGAGACUGAAGGCACAAGCUGUUCCAGUAUAAUAAAGAAAAUAAUUAAAUUAAGAAAAGUUAUACUAGAAAUAAGAUAUAGGUAUGAUUAUUAUUAAUCAUUAGUUUGUAGUAUUACUUUGUUCUAUUAUUAUAAUAAUCUCUGUUUUAUAAUUAUAACCUAGAAAAAACCAGGCCAUACAGAAUUAGGAGCUGAAGGGACACUGUGAGAGAUGACUAGAAGACAAGAGCGUGAGCCCUCUGUCAUGCCCAGAUAAGGGCUUCUUGAGAGAUCCUUGGUCUAGUGGUAGCGCCAGUGCCUGGGAAGGCACCCGUUGCUUAGCAGACCUUGGUCUAGCAGUAGUGCCAGUGCCUGGGAAGGCACCUGUUACUUAGCAGACUGGGAAAGGGAGUCUCCCUUUCUCUGGAAGAGUUAGAGAACACUCUGCUCCACCAGCUCUUGUGGGAGGCCAGGCCUGCCUGCAGUCAUCCGGAGGCUUAAACAUCUCCCUGUGGUGCUGUGCUUCAGUGGUCAUGCUCCUUGUCCACUUUCAUAUUCUGCCUGUACGCCUGGCUCCUCCUUUUAAGUUCUUAGAAGAUAGCAGUAGCAAAAUUAGUGAAAGUAUUAAAGUCUUUGAUCUUUCUGAUAAGUGCAUAGAAGAAAUGCUGAUGUAUGCUGCCUUUCCUCUCUCCCUCGGCUACCUGUCGGGUGGACACGUGACUUGCGUGACCUUAUCAAUCAUUUGAGAUGACUCAUACUCCUUACCCUGCCCCCUUGCCUAGAAUACAAUAAAUAGCAGCGUGUCCAGGCAUUCAGGGCCACUACCGGUCUCCGCGUCUUGGUGGUAGUGGUACCCUGGGCCCAGCUGUCUGUCUCUCUCUUUGUCUUGUGUCUUUAUUUCUACGAUCUCUUGUCUCCGCACACGAGGAGAAAAACCCACAGGCCUGGUAGGGCUGGUCCUUACACUUGUUCAAUGUAGAGACAGAGUUAGAGAGAGGCAAAUAUUGGGAUGGAUUCAUGAUGUGUGACCUGCUCGCCCACUCCUCUGAGCUCCAAGAGGGCCAUAGAGAAUGCCCCCUUCACCAAGACUUAGAACAAUAAAUUGGUGAGGAGAGCACUGGCAUCCGUGGAAAACACUGUCAUGGCUGUCCACUUUUGGACAGGAAAAAGUGGAACAUACAGCAAUUCAAAAGUUGUUAUUGUUGUUGUUUUUCCUCCAACUUCAACAAAGAUGAAGCCAGGAGAGGCAGAGGCUUGGUAGUAGCUCUUGGGCAGCAGACAAAAGGAUGAGCUACCAGAACAGACAGAUUAGACAUUAGGGACACAGAGCUAAUAAGAGUGGAUUGACCUGCGGGCUGUUUAAAAGAUGUCCCUGCGACUGAAACAGAAGAGCAGCCCACUCCUCUGUCUAGCCUGCUUAAUCUGUAAAGCCCUCCUACCCCGAUAUCUAG